GUCCUUGCCGCCAGGCUCUCCGCUGGCCGCCAGGGCAGGUCCUGGCCACGCACCUCACACAUCUGGAAGCAGUUGUCUCCAGCUGCCGGGCGGGGCUCAGGCUGCGGUCAGGGCUGGCUGCCCGUGCUUUGGAGACCUCGGACCCUCAGACAUCCCCUCGGAGCAGGGAGGGGAGACUGGGAGAGGGAAGGGAACGGGAUACAGGGGGAGUCGGGGGCGAGGGCUGUCUUUUUGUUCUGAAGAACCUUUUGGCUUUUCCCAACACAUCAGAAAAUCUGGCCGGGAAACUGUUUUUCUUCUGGUCCCACCCAUGUCUAAAUCAGGCAAACCUGAGCACACAUCUGUUUUUGUUUCUAAAGGAAUCAAAGGGAGUCCAGGCCUGUACGGGGUCCUAAAAAUACAUGUUGAAAACUGCUCGUGUUCCACCCUCUCCCGUGAAAGUUUUGUUUCCAUGACUUAAAAAUUUCCAGCAAGUUGCCAUCUCUGCUCUGACCUUCGGCGGCAGUGGGCCUUGUUAAAUAGGCCGGAGUCUCCAAAAUCGCUGGGGGGCUGGGGUUGAAAUGGGUUGGUCUUUGGUCACAGGACAUGGUGGAACCGUCUAGUUCUGCGUCCUCAUCUUAUAGCUGGAGAAACCAGCCCAGAGAAAGUCCAACAGCCCGAAUGGUCCCUGAAAUGACACGAUGUGGGAGGGCCCCUGCCCACCCCCAGAGGACAGACCGGAAAGCAUCUUAUUUGCCACCAUGGAGCGUGUGUAGCCUGUGCAGAAUGUGGAGACUUUAUGAUGCUGCACUUAGCUAUGGCCUCAAACCUUCACUGACCCACGCAUCUCCCCCUCCUCCCUGCCACUGGAAGGAAACCAUGGCAUCAGAACACAUUGGGACUGGCAGCUGCCUCCAGCACAAGGACUCAGAGUCGCAUCAUUGGAUUCCUGGACCCACUUGUGCCUGCUAUCAGCUUCCUGUUCCUGAGGCCCCCGAGAUUCACGGCUCUCCCCUGCAAGUCUCGUGUUUAUGA
ensembl:lncRNA